GACGGAGGAUGCAAGUGUUAUCCGGAAUCACUGGGCGUAAAGCGUCUGUAGGUGGUUUAAAAAGUCCACUGUUAAAAAUUGAAGCUUAACUUCAAAGAUGCCGUGGAAACUUUUAAACUUGAGUAUGAUAGGGGUAGAGGGAAUUUCCAGUGGAGCGGUGAAAUGCGUAGAUAUUGGAAAAGACCACCAAUGGCGAAGGCACUCUACUGGGCCAUUACUGACACUGAGAGACGAAAGCUAGGGGAGCGAAUGGG
rnacentral:rRNA from 1 species